GGACUACUCGGGUUUCUAAUCCCGUUCGCUCCCCUAGCUUUCGCACCUGAGCGUCAGAAACGAGCCAGGACACUGCCUUCGCCGUUGGUGUUCCUCCAGGUAUCUACGCAUGUCACUGCUCCACCUGGAAUUCCGUGUCCCUCUCUCGCUCUCAAGUCCGGCCGUUUAUGGAGACCUCUCCUGGUUAAGCCAGGAGCUUUUACCCCACACAUACCGGACCGCCUGCGUGCUCUUUACGCCCAAUAAUUCCGGAUAACGCUCGCCCCCUACGUAUUACCGCGGCGGCUGGCAC
rnacentral:rRNA from 1 species